GUGAAUCAUCAAAUUUUUGAACGCAAAUUGCACUUUCUGGUAUUCCGGAGAGUAUGCCUGUUUGAGGGUCAGUUAAAUCAAAAUCGUUGUUGUUGCUGCUUUUCGUGGUGACGCGUCGGCUUUGAGUUGUCUUACCUUCGGUUAGGUGACUUAAAUUUUGACUUGAUUUUUCAACGUAUUUACAUUUCUUAAGUACGUUUGAUAUAUCGAGUUCUUUAUUAGUUUCGGUAAUCCACAUACAUG
rnacentral:misc_RNA from 1 species